rnacentral:rRNA from 1 species
GACGAACGCUGGCGGCGUGCUUAACACAUGCAAGUGGAACGGAAAGGCCCCUUUGGGGGUACUCGAGUGGCGAACGGGUGAGUAACACGUGAGUAACCUGCCCUUGACUUCGGGAUAACUUCAGGAAACUGGGGCUAAUACCGGAUAGGAAUCCUUGCUGCAUGGUGGGGGUUGGAAAGCUUCGGCGGUUUUGGAUGGACUCGCGGCUUAUCAGCUUGUUGGUGGGGUAGUGGCUUACCAAGGCUUUGACGGGUAGCCGGCCUGAGAGGGCGACCGGCCACAUUGGGACUGAGAUACGGCCCAGACUCCUACGGGAGGCAGCAGUGGGGAAUAUUGCACAAUGGGCGGAAGCCUGAUGCAGCAACGCCGCGUGCGGGAUGACGGCCUUCGGGUUGUAAACCGCUUUCAGCAGGGGCGAAGCUUGUGGUGACGGUACCUGCAGAAGAAGCACCGGCUAACUACGUG